GGAAGGGCGACCGAACGUGGGGAGGAAGCGUGGAUCGCAACUGCGGGCCGAUGAACAAGAACCGGAUAUGAGGCGAUGCCGACCAGGGCGAGCGGGCAACAUACCGCGAAGCUCUUGUGACCAAGGGUCGGUGGCGUAAAUCCGGCGGUCGUGCAGUGAAGGAGUGCGUUC
rnacentral:ncRNA from 2 species